UCUGAUUCUGACAGCAAUGUGGGCACUUCC
rnacentral:piRNA from 1 species